rnacentral:lncRNA from 1 species
CAAACUACAUGUCAGCAGCUACAUGACCACAGCAUUCCAGUGUUGAAUACAACUGAGCAAAAGUAUUCAAAUUUCCAAACUAAUUUUCAAAAUGUUUCAACACUGUGAUCACUGCCACAAAGGAUAAUCCCCAGCUGUCAAGUUAAGGAAAUUUAAAAGAAAGCCAGUAAGAAAAGAUCCCCAAAAAGUCAGUAUCAUUCAAAAAUUCUUUAAGAAUUGAUGAGGAAAAACUGCACCUUUCAUACUAGUCCAGUGUACACAGUAACAGGUGAUAGAAUUUAGCUAAGGAAUACAGUGGACACUUCAAGACCAAAUGAUGAACUUUUAGAAUACAACUGUAAAAAUCAGUUGCCUGAUUGCAAACCAAGAAGUUUGCCGUUUCUGUUAUAUAAAACUAAAAGUCAGUUUUUGUGAGUCCAAUGAUGAUGAUUAACAGG